CCUUUUCCCACUAAGUGGGGUCGGCUAUAUGAAUCCUAGAACGCCAUUGCGCUCGGUUUUGUGUCAUGUCCUCCAUUAGAUCCAAGUACUCUAAGUCUUUUCUUAGAGUCUCUUCCAAAGUUGUCCUAGGUCUUCCUCUACCCCUUCGGCCCUGAACCUCUGUCCCGUAGUCACAUCUUCGAACCGGAGCGUUAGUCGGCCUUCUUUGCACAUGUUCAAAAUCACCGGAGCCGAUUUUCUCUCAUAUUUCCUACAAUUUCGGCUACUCCUACUUUACCUCGGAUAUCCUCAUUCCCAAUCUUAUCCUUUCUCGUGUGCCCACACAUCCCACGAGGCAUCCUCAUCUCCGCUACACCCAUUUUGUGUACGUGUUGAUGCUUCACCACCCAACAUUCUGUGCCAUACAACAUCGCUAGCCUUAUUGCCGUCCUAUAAAAUUUUCCCUUGAGCUUCAGUGGCUUACGACGGUCACACAACACGCCGGAUGCACUCUUUCCAUCCAGCUCGUAUUCUAUGGUUGAGAUCUCCAUCUAAUUCUCCGUUCUCUUGCAAGAUAGAUCCUAGGUAGCGAAAACGAUCGCUUUUUGUGAUCUUCGCUAGAUUGCUCCGGUCAUUAGUGUGGAUAAGUAUAUAAAUGGAUAGAGAUAGGAAAGCAAACACAAGAUGUACGUGGUUCACCCAGAUUGGCUACGUCCACGGAAUAGAAGAGUUCUCAUUAAUUGUGAAGGGUUUACACAAGUACAUAGGUUCAAGCUCUCAUUUAGUGAGUACAAGUGAAUGAUUUAGUACAAAUGACAUUAGGAAAUAUUGUGGGAGAAUGAUCUCGUAAUCACGAAACUUCUAAGUAUCGGAGUGUGGUGUCGUCUUGACUUGCCUUAUCUGUCUCAUAGGUAGAUGUGGCAUCUUCUCUGGAAGUACUCUUCCUCCAUCCAGGGGUGGUAUCUUUAACUGGUGGAGAUGCACAAGGUAAUGUAUCAAUUUCACUUGAAGCUUACUUGUAGUUUCAGGCUUGGUCAAGCGCGAUACAAACCAUGUAGUAGGAGUCCCCCAAGUCGCCGAGCUAGGGGGUCUGCUGAAAGAGGUGACAGACAAGGUAAGCAAUCAGAGCUCCGACUGAUUGUUCACCUUCUCCCCAUCUUGCAGCAGCAUGAAGGAUAAAGAGAAGAAAAAUGAGAAGAGAUGAUAUGAGAUACUUUUGCUUUUGAAGAAGUAACUUUCCACAGGCUUAUUCUUGAACUGAGCUGGAGGGUUUUCUGGUUUCCUCCAGAGUAUAAGGCCGACUGAAGAAUUUGAGGGUCAAAACAAGUCCAUCAAAUCUAGAGUACGUUCCACCCUGCUGAUAUGGGAUACUUUUGCUUUUGACAGAGUAAUGAAUGUAUCGGCACGUGUGCUGUUACGCUUGUCUCCACAUGCUUCCUUGUAUCCUUCGCACUUGCCCUAUCUGUUCCUCAAGCAGAUGCAGAAUCUUCCCUGGAAACAUAAGAUGUUGAAGAUGAGUACUCGAGAGCAAUGCCAGGUAAGUAAUCAGGUAAGGGGUUCCAGGCAGUCAAUUCCUGGCUGGAAGCUUGAUUCCAAGUGCUGACUGAUUGCUCUCUUUCUCCUUGUCUUGCAGGUAAAAACAAGGCCAAAAGAAAAGACAGGGAAAAAGCAUGAUAUGGGAUACUCUUGCUUUUAACCCUGAUGAUAUGAGAUAUUCUUGCUCUAGUAUAGCUUGUUUGCAGAGGUAUUAUCGGGGGGAAAGAAAGCUGAAUAUUUCGAAAGGCUUCGUUGGGAGUGCCCUCUCAGAUAUGAUGAAGGGUUGAGCAUUUUUGCAGGUCUGCCUGUCCGUUGGGGAUGGAGGUCGACAUAUAUAGGAGUCUCCCUAACAACAAGUAGUAAUGCUAUUCCUUUACCCUGCUUGGUCAUAGCACGGUAGUGGGAGCUGCCAGUUUCACAUGUUUUAACUCUGUCAGAGCACUUUGAAAAAGUGGUCUGUGGUAUCUGGCUCUCGAGAUUCAAAGAACGAUGCCUCUUCGAUUUUUGAGAAAGCAAUCAUGCUGGGGGUAUGACUCUCGAGAUUCGGAGAGCAGUCUCUUCGAUUUUUGAGGAAGUAAUCAUGUUGGGAGUCUGGCUCUCGAGAUUCGGAGGGCGGUGCCUCUUCGAUUUUGGAGCAAGCAAUCUUGUUGGGAGUGUUGUCUCGAAUGUGAGUAAAGGUUGGGCAUGUUUGCUAGUCUACCUUGCCACGAAGCACAAAGGUUGACACACAGGGACUUUCCAAUUAUCCAGCAAUGGUACUGUUCCUUUACCCUCUCUUCGAUUUUGAGAAAGUAGUCAUGUUGGGAGUCUGGCUCUUGAGAUUCGGAGGACGGUGCCUCUUCGAUUUUGGAGCAAGCAAUCUUAUUGGGAGUGUUUUCUCGAAUGUGAGUAAAGGUUGGGCAUGUUUGCUAGUCUACCUUGCCACGAAGCACAGAGGUUGACACACAGGGACUUUCCAAUUAUCCAGCAGUGGUACUGUUCCUUUACAGUUGUGGGUAAUAAUAUGGUAGCUAGACCUUCAAAAUUUAUGUGUCUAAACUUUUGUUAGUGCUGUUUCUUUGCUAUUCUUUUACCUUUCUUGGUCAGAGCGAUGUAGUGGGAGCUGCAAGCUUCACGUGCUCAACUUUGGCAGAGAACUUUGGCAAAGUUAUUUGUGGUACCCAUGAGCUAUUGUUGCGUGUGGGAAGUGGGUGAUUGAACAGUAAGAUUCAUGUGCUUUCUACUUCACCAGAAGUCUUCGACAGAAUGCCCAUAAUUUCUGCAAAGCUGAGUGUGCGUGUGACAGGUGCUGACAAGGCUAGAAAAGUAGGUGCCUCUUCGAUUUCUGAGAUCGGCCCUCGUGGUCUCUGAGCAGCCCAGCUUUUGAGAAAGCGAGCGCCUCUUCGAUUGAUUCGGAGAACGAUGCCUCAUCGAUUUUUGAGAAAGCAAUCAUGCUGGGGGUCUGGCUCUCGAGAUUCGGGGAGCAGUGUCUCUUCGAUUUUUGAGAAAGUAAUCAUGUUGGGAGUCUGGCUCUCGAGAUUCGGAGGGCGGUGCCUCUUCGAUUUUGGAGCAAGCAAUCUUGUUGGGAGUGUUUUCUCGAAUGUGAGUAAAGGUUGGGCAUGUUUGCUAGUCUACCUUGCCACGAAGCACAGAGGUUGACACACAGGGACUUUCCAAUUAUCCAGCAAUGGUACUGUUCCUUUACCCUCUCUUCGAUUUUUAAGAAAGUAGUCAUGUUGGGAGUCUGGCUCUCGAGAUUCGGAUGACGGUGCCUCUUCGAUUUUGGAGCAAGCAAUCUUAUUGGGAGUGUUUUCUCGAAUGUGAGUAAAGGUUGGGCAUGUUUGCUAGUCUACCUUGCCACGAAGCACAGAGGUUGACACACAGGGACUUUCCAAUUAUCCAGCAGUGGUACUGUUCCUUUACCCUUGUGGGUAAUAAUAUGGUAGCUAGACCUUCAAAAUUUAUGGGUCUAAACUUUGUUAGUGCUGUUUCUUUGCUAUUCUUUUACCCCUUCUUGGUCAGAGCGAUGUAGUGGGAGCUGCAAGCUUCACGUGCUCAACUUUGGCAGAGAACUUUGGCAAAGUUAUCUGUGGUACCCAUGAGCUAUUGUUGCGUGUGGGAAGUGGGUGAUUGAACAGUAAGAUUCAUGUGUUUUCUACUUUCCCAGAAGUCUUUGACAGAAUGCCCAUAAUUUCCGCAAAACUGAGUGUGCGUGUGACAGGUGCUGACAAGGCUGGAAAAGGCUGGAAAAGUAGGUGCCUCUUCGAUUUCUGAGAUCGGCCCUCGUGGUCUCUGGGGAGCCCAGCUUUUGAGAAAGCGAGCGCCUCUUCGAUUUUUUAGAUCGGCCUUCGUGGUCUUUGAGCAGCCCAACUUUUGAGAAAGCAAACGCCUCUUCGAUUUCUGAGAUCAACCCUCGUGAUCUCUAAGCAGCCCAGCUUUUGAGAAAGCAAACGCCUAUUCGAUUUCUGAGCAGGCGCCUCUUCGAUUUCUGAAGCUUCGUCGAGUGCAGAUUUUUAUAGGGGCUGGCAUUAAGUUCCAAAGCACACUUGAAUCUCCACCAGUAGAAGCUUCAUUCUUGCACUUCUAAGAUCUUGAUUUGUCCGACCUCUUCUCUCUUCAACACCUUUGAAAAUGUCUGGCCCCUCCGACCGUCGUCGUUUUGACUUGAACCUUGUUGAAGAGGCAGCCCCGCCUUCUCCAGACAACAUAUGGCGCCCAUCCUUCGUCUCCCCUACUGGUCCUCUUACCGUUGGGGAUUCCGUGAUGAAGAAUGAUAUGACCGCUGCGGUGGUGGCCAGGAACCUUCUCACUCCCAAAGAUAACAGACUACUUUCCAAACGGUCUGAUGAGUUAGCUGUUAAGGAUUCGCUGGCUCUCAGUGUUCAGUGUGCAGGUUCUGUGUCUAAUAUGGCCCAACGCCUAUUUGCUCGAACCCGCCAAGUUGAAUCAUUGGCGGCUGAAGUGAUGAGUCUCAAACAGGAGAUUAGAGGGCUCAAGCAUGAGAAUAAACAGUUGCACCGGCUCGCACAUGACUAUGCUACAAACAUGAAGAGGAAGCUUGACCAGAUGAAGGAAACUGAUGGUCAGGUUUUACUUGAUCAUCAGAGAUUUGUGGGUUUGUUCCAAAGGCAUUUAUUGCCUUCGUCUUCUGGGGCUGUACCGCGUAAUGAAGCUCCAAAUAAUCAACCUCUGAUGCCUCCUCCUUCUAGGGUUCUGUCCAGUACUGAGGCACCAAAUGAUCCCCCUCCGGUGUCUUCUCUUUCUGGGGCUCUACCGACUGCUGAGACUUCUCCUAAGCAACCUUUGUGAAGGCUCCCUCUUGUGUGCUUAUUUUGACUCAUGUAUAUGUACAUAUUUGUAGCUUAUCGGGGAUAUCAAUAAAUAAGCUUUCCUUCAUUUCAACGUAUUGUGUUUAAAUACACCAAAGCCUUCUUCGCUAAGUUCUUUGAAUUUUCUUUUGUUAAAGCUUGUAUGUUGAAGCUUUCUGAGUGGAGCAUGUAGGUUGGGGUAGUGUUCCCUUAAUUUCCCGAGUGAGGAAAACUUCUCGAUUGGAGACUUGGAAAAUCCAAGUCACUGAGUGGGAUCGGCUAUAUGAAUCUUAGAACGCCAUUGUGCUCGAUCCUGUGUCAUGUCCUUCGUUAGAUCCUAAGUACUCUAAGUCUUUUCUUAGAGUCUCUUCCAAAGUUUUCCUAGGUCUUCCUCUACCCCUUCGGCCCUGAACCUCUGUCCCAUAGUCGCAUCUUCUAAUCGGAACGUCAGUAGGCCUUCUUUGCACAUGUCCAAACCACCGUAACCGAUUUUCUCUCAUCUUUCCUUCAAUUUCGGCUACUCCUACUUUACCCCGGAUAUCCUCAUUCCUAAUCUUAUCCUUUCUCGUGUGCCCACACAUCCAACGAAGCAUCCUCAUCUCCGCUACACCCAUUUUGUGUACGUGUUGAUGUUUCACCGCCCAACAUUCUGUGCCAUACAGCAUCGCCGGCCUUAUUGCCGUCCUAUAAAAUUUUCCCUUGAGCUUCAGUGGCAUACGACGGUCACACAACACGCCGGAUGCACUCUUCCACUUCAUCCAUCCAGCUUGUAUUCUAUGGUUGAGAUCUCCAUCUAAUUCUCCGUUCUUUUGCAAGAUAGAUCCUAGGUAACGAAAACGGUCGCUCUUUGGUAUUUCUUGAUCUUCGAUCCUCACCCCUAACUCGUUUUGGCCUCCAUUUGCACUGAACUUGCACUCCAUAUAUUCUGUCUUUGAUCGGCUUAGGCGAAGACCUUUAGAUUCCAACACUUCUCUCCAAAGGUUAAGCUUUGCAUUUACCCCUUCCUGAGUUUCAUCUAUCAACACUAUAUCGUCUGCGAAAAGCAUACACCAAGGAAUAUCAUCUUGAAUAUGUCGUGUUAACUCAUCCAUUACCAACGCAAAAAGGUAAGGACUUAAGGAUGAGCCUUGAUGUAAUCCUACAGUUAUGGGAAAGCUUUCGGUUUGUCCUUCAUGAGUUCUUACGGCAGUCUUUGCUCCUUCAUACAUAUCCUUUAUAGCUUGGAUAUAUGCUACUCGUACUCCUUUCUUCUCUAAAAUCCUCCAAAGAAUGUCUCUUGGGACCCUAUCAUACGCUUUUUCCAAAUCUAUAAAGACCAUGUGUAAAUCCUUUUUCCCAUCUCUAUAUCUUUCCAUCAAUCUUCGUAAGAGAUAGAUUGCCUCCAUGGUUGAGCGCCCUGGCAUGAACCCGAAUUGGUUGUCCGAAACCCGUGUCUCUUGCCUCAAUCUAUGCUCAAUGACUCUCUCCCAGAGCUUCAUUGUAUGACUCAUUAGCUUAAUACCCCUAUAAUUCAUGCAAUUUUGUACGUCGCCCUUAUUCUUGUAGAUAGGCACCAAAGUGCUCAUUCGCCACUCAUUUGGCAUCUUCUUCGUUUUCAAAAUCCUAUUGAA
rnacentral:lncRNA from 1 species